UGUUAUGCAUAGUAUCCGUAAGUGAAUACAUAGCUUACGCGAAGGUAACGCAGAGAACUGAAACAUCUAAGUACCUGCAGGAAGAGAAAGUAAAAACGAUUUCCUAAGUAGCGGCGAGCGAACGGGAAACAGGCCAAACCAAGAAGCUUGCUUCUUGGGGUUGUAGGACUGCAACGUGGACUUAAAGUCUAUAGAAGAAUUACCUGGGAAGGUAAGCCAAAGAGAGUAAUAGCCUCGUAUUUGAAAUAGACUUUAUACCUAGCAGUAUCCUGAGUAGGGCUGGACACGCGAAAUCCAGUUUGAAUCCGGGAGGACCAUCUCCCAAGCCUAAAUACUCCUUAAUGACCGAUAGUGAACCAGUACCGUGAGGGAAAGGUGAAAAGAACCCCGGGAGGGGAGUGAAAUAGCACCUGAAACCGUGUGCCUACAAGAAGUUCGAGCCCGUCAAUGGGUGAGAGCGUGCCUUUUGUAGAAUGAACCGGCGAGUUACGUUAUGAUGCGAGGUUAAGCUGAAGAGGCGGAGCCGUAGCGAAAGCGAGUCUGAAUAGGGCGCUUUAGUAUCAUGAUGUAGACCCGAAACCUAGUGACCUAUCCAUGAGCAGGUUGAAGGUGCGGUAAGACGCACUGGAGGACCGAACCAGGACACGUUGAAAAGUGUUUGGAUGACUUGUGGAUAGCGGAGAAAUUCCAAACGAACUGGGAGAUAGCUGGUUCUCUCCGAAAUAGCUUUAGGGCUAGCGUCGCAAUUUAAGUGUAUUGGAGGUAGAGCACUGUUUGGAUGAGGGGCCCAUCUCGGGUUACCAAUUUCAGAUAAACUCCGAAUGCUAAUACACAUGUGCGGCAGUCAGACUGCGAGUGCUAAGAUCCGUAGUCGAAAGGGAAACAGCCCAGACCACCAGCUAAGGUCCCAAAAUAUAUGUUAAGUGGAAAAGGAUGUGGGGUUGCACAGACAACUAGGAUGUUAGCUCAGAAGCAGCUAUCAUUCAAAGAGUGCGUAAUAGCUCACUAGUCGAGUGACCCUGCGCCGAAAAUGUACCGGGGCUAAACAUAUUACCGAAGCUGUGGAUUUAAUAUUAAUUAAAUGGUAGGAGAGCGUUGUAAUCAGCGAUGAAGGUAUACCGUGAGGGGUGCUGGAGCGAUUACAAGUGAGAAUGCCGGUAUGAGUAGCGCAAGAUAAGUGAGAAUCUUAUCCACCGUAAGACUAAGGUUUCCAGGGGAAGGCUCGUCCGCCCUGGGUUAGUCGGGACCUAAGGCGAGGCCGAAAGGCGUAGUCGAUGGACAACAGGUUGAUAUUCCUGUACUAGUAUUGUUAGUGAUGGAGGGACGCAGUAGGCUAAAGGGAGCCAGUUAAUGGAUUCUGGUCUAAGCAGUGAGGUGUGGAAUGUGUCAAAUGCAUUUUCCUUUAACAUUGAGCUGUGAUGGGGAAGCAACUACGGUUGCGAAGCCCUUGAUGUCACACUGCCAAGAAAAUCUUCUAGCGUUUAAUUCAAUACUACCCGUACCGCAAACCGACACAGGUAGUCGAGGCGAGUAGCCUCAGGUGAUCGAGAGAACUCUCGUUAAGGAACUCGGCAAAAUGACCCCGUAACUUCGGGAGAAGGGGUGCUGUAGAAAUACAGCCGCAGUGAAAAGAUCCAAGCAACUGUUUAUCAAAAACA
rnacentral:rRNA from 1 species